rnacentral:rRNA from 1 species
GUGGGAGCACGCUUAGGCGUGUGACUGCGUACCUUUUGUAUAAUGGGUCAGCGACUUAUAUUCUGUAGCAAGGUUAACCGAAUAGGGGAGCCGAAGGGAAACCGAGUCUUAACUGGGCGUUAAGUUGCAGGGUAUAGACCCGAAACCCGGUGAUCUAGCCAUGGGCAGGUUGAAGGUUGGGUAACACUAACUGGAGGACCGAACCGACUAAUGUUGAAAAAUUAGCGGAUGACUUGUGGCUGGGGGUGAAAGGCCAAUCAAACCGGGAGAUAGCUGGUUCUCCCCGAAAGCUAUUUAGGUAGCGCCUCGUGAAUUCAUCUCCGGGGGUAGAGCACUGUUUCGGCAAGGGGGUCAUCCCGACUUACCAACCCGAUGCAAACUGCGAAUACCGGAGAAUGUUAUCACGGGAGACACACGGCGGGUGCUAACGUCCGUCGUGAAGAGGGAAACAACCCAGACCGCCAGCUAAGGUCCCAAAGUCAUGGUUAAGUGGGAAACGAUGUGGGAAGGCCCAGACAGCCAGGAUGUUGGCUUAGAAGCAGCCAUCAUUUAAAGAAAGCGUAAUAGCUCACUGGUCGAGUCGGCCUGCGCGGAAGAUGUAACGGGGCUAAACCAUGCACCGAAGCUGCGGCAGCGACGCUGAUGCGUUGUUGGGUA